rnacentral:rRNA from 1 species
AUUGAACGCUGGCGGCAGGCCUAACACAUGCAAGUCGGACGGUAGCACAGAGAGCUUGCUCUCGGGUGACGAGUGGCGGACGGGUGAGUAAUGUCUGGGGAUCUGCCCGAUAGAGGGGGAUAACCACUGGAAACGGUGGCUAAUACCGCAUAACGUCGCACGACCAACGAGGGGGACCUUCGGGCCUCUCACUAUCGGAUGAACCAAGAUGGGAUUAGCUAGUAGGCGGGGUAACGGCCCACCUAGGCGACGAUCCCUAGCUGGUCUGAGAGGAUGACCAGCCACACUGGAACUGAGACACGGUCCAGACUCCUACGGGAGGCAGCAGUGGGGAAUAUUGCACAAUGGGCGCAAGCCUGAUGCAGCCAUGCCGCGUGUAUGAAGAAGGCCUUCGGGUUGUAAAGUACUUUCAGCGGGGAGGAAGGCGAUGUGGUUAAUAACCGCAUUGAUUGACGUUACCCGCAGAAGAAGCACCGGCUAACUCCGUGCCAGCAGCCGCGGUAA